AUUGAACGCUGGCGGCAGGCCUAACACAUGCAAGUCGAACGAGUGGCGGACGGGUGAGUAAUGUCUGGGAAACUGCCUGAUGGAGGGGGAUAACUACUGGAAACGGUAGCUAAUAACGCAUACCAUCGGAUGUGCCCAGAUGGGAUUAGCUUGUAGGUGGGGUAAAGGCUCACCUAGGCGACGAUCCCUAGCUGGUCUGAGAGGAUGACCAGCGACACUGGAACUGAGACACGGUCCAGACGCCUACGGGAGGCAGCAGUGGGGAAUAUGGCACAAUGGGCGCAAGCCUGAUGCAGCCAUGGCGCGUGUAUGAAGAAGGCCUUCGGGUUGUAAAGUACGUUCAGCUGGGAGGCGUUACCCGCAGAAGAAGCACCGGCUAACUCCGUGCCAGCAGCCGCGGUAAUUC
rnacentral:rRNA from 1 species